rnacentral:rRNA from 1 species
GACGAACGCUGGCGGCGUGCCUAAUACAUGCAAGUAGAACGCUGAAGGAGGAGCUUGCUCUUCUGGAUGAGUUGCGAACGGGUGAGUAACGCGUAGGUAACCUGCCUGGUAGUGGGGGAUAACUAUUGGAAACGAUAGCUAAUACCGCAUAAUAGCAGUUGUUGCAUGACAACUGUUUGAAAGGUGCAAUUGCAUCACUACCAGAUGGACCUGCGUUGUAUUAGCUAGUUGGUGGGGUAACGGCUCACCAAGGCGACGAUACAUAGCCGACCUGAGAGGGUGAUCGGCCACACUGGGACUGAGACACGGCCCAGACUCCUACGGGAGGCAGCAGUAGGGAAUCUUCGGCAAUGGACGAAAGUCUGACCGAGCAACGCCGCGUGAGUGAAGAAGGUUUUCGGAUCGUAAAGCUCUGUUGUAAGAGAAGAACGAGUGUGAGAGUGGAAAGUUCACACUGUGACG